UCUGUUAAAAAUAAAGAUGAAUUAGACUCACCUUAGACAGAUUGACUCAAAAUCUCUGGAGGGAACCCAGGAACCUUCAUUCUAACAAGAACCCCCAGGUGGUUCUUAGCACUUCAAAGUUGGGGAGCCUCUGCUUCCAUCGGAAAGCAUCAAGCAACAAUGGCCAUAAUAGAAAUGCUACUAUCAAUGGGACAGAAAAGAUACCUGGGAAAGAUUGCUCCUGUUGGCUGUGACAGCUUCUCUGACUUUGUUUGUGAUGACUUCGAGAGUCUUAAGGAGAAAUCAUCGGCUAUUUUGUAGAAUGGCCCUCAAGUGUGGUUUUGGCAGGUGAUUUUCUCAUGAUUGGACUGGGGUUGUGGGUUUUUGGAAGGAAGAAUACAGACAUAGUCAUUUCCAUAACAUCCAUUCACUUCAAAGGUGUCAUUCAGGAGCUCUCUUCAUGCCCACAAUAUUCCCCCUUCUAAUUGAAUUCUCAAAGUAGAAUCAGAUCAAUACAGAACCCUGAAGGUAUCGUGAUUGAGAAGGCUCUCAGCUGCACCUGCUACUGGAAUUAUACCUGUGAUCAGAAGCUCCUGUUUUUAUUUCGACAAAGAAAUGGAAUUCAUAAAAUAGAGUAACAGACUGCCCCAUAAAGGAGAGUAUGGUGGUGAACUCUCAAGAACUAUUGCAAUUAUUUCCUAGAAGGAAGGAGAUACAGAAAUAUAAGAAACGAAUGCAAAGAAGGCAAGGAGAGCAAAAAAGAACAGGAGGAAGGAAGAGUGAAAGGAUGAAGAAGAGAGAAGAAUAUAGUGUUCAUUGAGUAUCUGCUCAAAUUAAGGAUAAAGCCACAUGUUUUCGUAAAUUUUCUCUAAUAUCCAUAGCAAUCUAGUAUCCAUAGCCAAACAAAUAAGUGACUUCCACUUAACAAAGGAACUGAAGCCCAAAAAAGUUAAUAUGGACGAGUCACACAGCAACUGGGAUUGAAGCUGAAUAAAUCUAGCUCCAAGGCAUUCUCUUGUAGGCUGCUCUUCUCAUGUCUGCUAGGAUUACAUGGGUCAAGCACAACCCUGUCAGGUUUCAGUGAUCAGAAGGACAGAACCUUGCUGUUAGACAGAAACUAGGGUCUCUAUACUGGGCCAACUCCUUGUUCUCAAACUCAGGAGCUGGAAUUGCCAGACCUUGGAACCAGCUGACUGGAGACUGUGUCCCCAUUAAAGGAAAUGUCCAGGAUUUCAUUUCAUGUUAUGUCCCCCCCCACCGCCCCACCUCUUCCUCCUUAGUGCUUUCUUUCUCUCUGAUAUCAGCUCUGCUACAGUUUGAGGCAAGGGUUGGGACUAGAAUUGUAGUUUUUUGAAUCUCAGUGUGGUUGCUUUUGGUACUUGUUGAGGCCUCCAUGUAGUCAAAUUCAUUAUCGUAUAUAAAGUUACAAUUAAGAGUUGGAAAUAAUAUAUGAAGAUCAGAUGGAGGAUGUGAGGCUAC
rnacentral:lncRNA from 1 species